CUGUGUACACUUAAAACUUCCUUAGCCGACAACAACCAUGUUUCAGGACCACGGACAGUGACACCGCAUGUUCCACUCACGGAGCUUUUUCCUUAGGCUCAGCCUAUAGAACAGGAGACAGACAUUACCGAGGAUACAGGAUGUGCUUCAAGAGGCUGGAGGCAAUAAAUGUAAAAAUGCAGGCCAAAGGAUUAUCAGACAAGUUCAUCUCUUUAACAUUGAGAGGAUUCAUUUAUAGAUUUUUUUACUCUGGAACAGCAUUUUCCAAACUCGACUCCAAGGUAGAAUAGUUCCUGACUGAAUUCUUCCAAUAAGAAUCAGACUCAGUGUGUUUCUUCUCUCAUAAUCAUGGGACUAGUCAACUACAAUCAUGAAUCACCCAGACUAAGUUAUGCCAAGGUAAAAGAUAAUCACCAGAUCUCAGAGGGUCAUGUAUUAUCUCUGUCUUACAUGACUCUCCUUCUGAGACCCUAGCUACCUGCAAGGCCACUACCUGGAAUCUAAUUCAUUAUCAUUACGAGGGACAGAAAACAAUGAAUUGGUCUCUCCCAGGAAUAACGUGUAUAUUGGAUCCUGCUAGUCACAUAGCCCACAUAACCACAAGGGGCUUUGAAGUUCAAAACUACCACAUGCUUGGGAGACAAGGAACCUGAAAUACGUGGUAAACAGUUCUAAUAACCACAGUGAAAAAAAAAAAUGUUAGGGCAGUAUUUCCUGACUUCUCUCUACCAGUACUGAUUUCCAAAUAGGAUUUGAUGAUGUGUGAUGAUAAUAGGUAUCACAGAAUAUUUGCUAGUGCUAAAGACUCUAUUAGGAGGUUUCCACACAUUAAUUAAUAAAGAGUUUACUAAUAUUAUCCACAUUUUUAAGAAGAGGAAUCUGAAACACAGGAUGUUUUAAUAAGGGUUGCCCCUGACUGUAAUUGAAAGGCACUCUUAUGUAUAAGGCUCUGGGUAUAGUUCAGGUUGUAGAGUUGGUAGGUGGUAAAGGUGAAUUUUUAAUCCAUGCAGACUGGCUCCAAAGGGUACAUUGCUCUUCAGAGCUAUCUUCUAUCUUCUUACUAAUGGAAGAAAAAUAACUCCUUCCUGCAAGUCAAAACACUAAGUUCAUGGUUCAGCCAUGAAGUGACUGAAAACAGAUUCCUUCUCUCUAUCUCUCUCUCUCUCUUUUUUUUUUUUAACUUGUAACACAUGCAGCAUUCGGAAGGAGAUUUAGAAAUUUGAACUAUAAAAUGACAAAUGCUCCAUCAAACAAAGAAGAUUUACACUACCUAAGAAACAUCUAGGGCAGCCCCGGGUGGCUCAGCAGUUUAGCGCAGCUUUCUGUCCGGGGCGUGAUCCUGGGGACCCGGGAUGGGGUCCCACAUCAGGCUCCCUGCAUGGAGCCUGCUUCUCCCUCUGCCUGUGUCUCUGCCCCUCUCUCUCUUUGUGUCUCUCAUGAGUAAAUAAAUAAAAUCUUAAAAAAAAAAGAAACAUCUACAGUCCUUAUUCAAUGUACAAAUACACUCAUACACAUAUUCCUACAUUUUAUUUGAAAAGUGCUCUGGUGAUUAAAAAAUAUAAAGGCCACUGAACAAGCAGGUCUCAAAUUCUACAAAUACUGUUGUUCCAAGUGCCUGUUAGUAUUGUGUAUUAUCAUGAUGUUCUUACUAAAUGCUCAAACUCAUCCCUUUAAAGCUUUGGCACACUGAUUCAUUCAUCCUUUCAAGAAAUUUUUGACACUUGCCUAGUACAUGACAGUCACAAUUCUCAAUGUUGUUUAUUUAGAUAAAUAAAAGAGUUUGUGCCAUCAAUGAUCUCAUAGUUUAAUGAAGCAAAGUGGGGAAGAGAUAAGUGCAGUAUAAUGCAAUGAGAGCUUACAGAGCAUACUGUUUAUUGCCCAUCCAGCAUCCAUUCCUCUCCUUUGACAUUCUAUUUUUUUAAGAUUUUAUUUAUUUAUUCAUGAGAGACACACAGAAGCAGAGACAUAAGCAGAGGAAGAAAUAGGCUCCUCUCUGGGAGCCCGAUGUGGGACUCAAUCCCAGGACCCCAGGACCACUCCCAGAGCCAAAGGCCAACGCUGAACCGCUAAGCCACCCAGGUGUCCCUCUAUUGCCGUUCUAACAGCUGUACAUUUCUCCACCACGUACCUCAGGAGCUUUAGGCUGAGGUGAGCCUCACCUCUGGCUCCAAUACUAGGCUGAUAAAAGAAAAUCCCAUUGACCUUGUCACAGGUAUUGGUUCAGAAGUCUAGGACUUAGCUCAUUAUUCCAUUUCAUUCCCUGGCCAUAUGGUUUGAUUUAGGAAUCAAUCUAUGAUGGGAUUUGCACAUAUGGGACAAAAAGAGAACUUUUGAGUAGCUUUUGAAAAAUAACUCUUUUCAAGACAGCUAAAAGAAGAAACACCUACUUUUCUUUUGAUUUUCAGUGGCAUAUAGGUAUGACAAUCUUUUUAUAUCAAUCCAAGUUCAGGUAGGAAAAAAUAAACUACUACAGACAGUUCAAACAAACAGAAUUUCACACAGGGAAUUGAUGGCAUAGGCUUUUGAAAGAUUGAGAAAGUAAAAGGGAAAAUAUAGCAAACCAAAGAUAAGCAGCUUUAGGAAGCAUCUAUAGGGCCAGGGCAGGAGAGUAAGGGAAGAGGUGGUUAUAUCAGAACUUAGACUGUGCUGUGGUGGUGUUACCAAGGAGGAACUACCUGAGUCAGUACUGAACCAUGAAAGCCAUGGGCACUACUGUUGAAGGACCAUGGCAUCUUUGAAGGAGUUUAUUUCUAAAAGUACAUCAGAAAGAGAUGUAGUGUCUCCUCUCUUCCUGUAUUUUGAUCUUAUCCCAGUGUCUCCUACUGGCAUAAUUUAAGAGAGUAACUGGAAAUGGAGCCUGAACAACUUAACAUAUAGCCUCCCUAACCAUAAAAUUAUAAAGAACGGUAUGUAAGAGGAUGAAAGAAAGUAGGCAAAUAAUCAAGACAUACAACCCUCCAUAUACAUCCAUAUACAUUCUACCUUAAAUUUUAAUACAAGAUGACAGUGAUGUGAUACAUCUA
rnacentral:lncRNA from 1 species